CCCCUCUUGUCACGCUGCUGGAAUUUCCUGAGCCGACGGGCCCACAGGUCCUUCCACGGGAUGAGCAGGCUGCCCUUGUCCGCCACCACACCGCUCUGACCGCGGGAGUCGUCAUCGUCAGAGCCCAUCAGCAGGCGCGUCUGUGUGAGAUGGCCUUGGUCAUGUCUCUGUAGUAGCCUUCCUUACAGUAGUGGCAGUGCCGUCCGGCUGUGUUAUGUCUGCAGUUGAGACAGACUCCUCCACUCCUCCGGCCCGAUAGCUUAUACAGCUCCAUGUUGAAGCGGCAGCGGCGGGCAUCUGUUUGGACUCUCAUUCUGACGGCACCCAUUCACUGCAGAGGAUCCACUGGUGAGUGGGAAAUUUCUCCAAAUCUGAUGAAGAAACGAAUCAUUUAUAUCCUGGUUGACCUGAGGAAGACCCUUAACACAGUGGGAGAGAGGAGAGGCCAGAAUCAUCGAGACGUUUGACUAGUAUCCUGAGAGAGCUUUAUUAUUUUAAUGACAUCACUGGAUCUCUGGGCUUCCAUCCAUUUACAGCAUUUCAUUAAGAGACAACAGCUUCAUAAAACGACUCGCUCCAGAUCCUGUGCUCUCACACACACCUGCUCAAGGCUUUGACCUCUGACCUCUCCUGGUCCGAUCAGCCAUCUAUCUAUCUAUCCACCAUUAUGUUCAUUCUGUUUCUUAAUUCUGUUUGUUAAAUCGAUUGUUCUAUCUAUCCAUGGCAACUCCAUCCCUGAUAUACAACUAUAAAACAACCUGUAAUAACCAUAAAAGAGAACAAACCACAAAAGAGAAACAAUAUUCCUACUUCUACACAGAUACUGCAGCCACACUCACACCUGCUGAGGAGUCUAGAUGUUAGUGACUAAAUAGGGACAUGGACUGUCACUCACACAUACACAGGAAGGAAGUGUUAAGCAGCUGUCAUGUUUUAUUGCGCAGACACCUAGAACACUUCAACCACUCAGUACAGUGAUGAUAACACACCAGGCCUUGACUAUAUCUCUCCCUCUUUUACACACUAUCUUCCAUGAUACUUCUGAUAGAGACGCAAUUUUCACUUUUUAGAAGCAUUAAUGUGUUCAUACAUAGUCAAAUCAGUUUUGAGUUUUGAGUGAUAAGUACAGUUAUCUUUUUCAGUGGAAAAACACAGAACAAAUUAAUAUUGCAACACAGUAGAAUUGAAAUGAACUGCUCUCUUUGCACCAGCUCCAGGCCACUUUCUCCUUCUUCCCCCAGUCCUCUGAAAAGAAUGAGCAUGUUUUUCCAUUAUAUUAUCCUAAUUCAUUAUGAUUUUAUUUGCGCCGCAAUUCUGUCCUCUC